UGUGAUCCCAAAGCUAAUGCAAAUGACGAUAUAGCAUGAGGGAUCUUAGGGUCAAAAUUGGGGUCUUACACAGUCAAAUGCCUUUUGUCCCUAUUUUGUGCCUGGACCGCCCUUUCGGGUUUUCAAUCCACCGGGACACUCUUUUUUUUCCUAAGCCGCCCUUUCGGGUUUUCAACUUAGCGAGCUUCCAUUUUUUAUUUAUACCGCUAAAUUUUGUCUGGAUCUCCUUCAUAGGUUAUGAUCCACCGGGAUACCCAUUUUUG
rnacentral:lncRNA from 1 species